AUGUCCGCCCUGCAACUGUACCUGGCUUGUGUCCCACAAGGAGAAAGAUGCAGGGGCCUCCAGAAGCUAAAGAGCCACCAGGUUUCCAGGUCCCUCAGGCCCCUGCACAUCCUCAGCUCUCUGAAGAACAGUGACUGGUGUGACGACAGGGCCCCUUCACAGAGCGAACCUGACAAAGAGCUACUCACCGCACACACGAGCCUUAGAAUGCACAUGUCAGUGUUUUGGGAAAUAUGUGCUGUUUUGAAAUGUGUCUGGGCCAUGAGUAAGUUUGGGGGGAGACGGGAUAGGAGCUUUUCUUCCAGUUAACGAAGUGAGGCUUCAUGGAGGAAGAAGAUUUUCUUAGUCACAUUUCCUGUUUCACACUGACCUUUUAAAAGGAAACCCACAACUGAACCUGUGCUAGGGCCUGCUUACAAAACCUACCCACAGGUAUAAUAAAGAUGAUCUAAAUAAAGCCAAGCUUAACCUGAAUCAGUGGAAAUAAUAAGAUCACCAAGAAGGGCUGAUGGCCUGAGAUAAGGGACAUGGUGGUGCUCCAUAAACUGCAAAUAGAAGUGACACGUGAGAGAUUUAAUGAUUAUUAAACAGGAAUCUAAGCAGAGAGGCAGAGAUAAACCAUGCAAUCUUUUCAUCAGUCUCUAUGUACUCAGGGCUUAGCCACUUGUUAUAAAAUGGAGACUCUGAAAACUUAGGAGAGAUGGAUGCAGUGAUUUCAAAAGAAGUUGUGUUGAUUGGGUUAUAAAAUUAAUUAUGGGAAUUAAGAUUUCUUAUCUGCAGAGGGAAAAACCAACAGAUAACUGAAGAACUUAAAGUUGGUAAGGGGCCGGGCUUGGUAGCUCAUGCCUAUAAUCCCAACACCUCAGGAGCCUGAAACAAGAGGACUGCUUGAGCCCGGUAGUUCAAAGUUAGCCUGGGCAACAUAGUGAGAUCCCACAUCUAUAAAAAUAAUGUUUUUUGUCCCCAGAUGUGGUGGUGUGUGCUUCUAGUCCCAGCUACUCGGGUGGCUAAGCCUAGGAGGUUGAGGAUGCAGUGUUCUGUGAUCAUACCACUGCACUACAGCCUGGGUGAUGGAGCAAAACUCCAUUUCAGAAAAAAACCAAAAAGUUGGUAAGGGAUCAGUUAUUGGAUGACACAUUGCCAUAUCUACUGACCAAAGAAUGACAGGCCCAAACAGUAGCAGACAGAUGUGGGAUACUCAAGGAUGUCCCAGAGAUGGCCAGGUAUGGUGGCUCAUGCCUGUAAUCCCAGCACUUUGGGAGGCCAAGGCAGGCAGAUCACUUGAGAUCAGGAGUUCGAGAUCAACCUGGCCAACAUGGUGAAAUCCUGUCUCUACUAAAAAUACAAAACUUAGCCAGGCGUGGUGGUGCAUGCCUGUAUUCUCAGCUACCCUGGAGGCUAAAGCAGGAGAAUUACUUGAACCCAGGAGGCAGAGGUUCCAGUGAGCUGAGAUUACACCAUUGCACUUCAUCCUGGGCAACACAGUGAGACUCCAACUCAAAAAAAAAAAAAAAAAAAGAAUGUCCCAGAGACACCUGCAGAACAGUCUCCAAGGCCUGAAGAGCUUCACCAUCAGGCAGCACCCAAUGCCAUGGCUGUUUACACUGAUUCAGGAAAACGUCACAGAAAUGUUAAGUUUGAAAGCUUUGUUUUGUUUUUUUACUUUUUUAUUUUAAAAAAUAUGUAAUGCUUCACAAAUUUGUGUGUCUUCUUUGCUCAGGGGCCAUGCUAAUCUUCUCUGUAUUGUUCCAAUUUUAGUACAUGUGCUGCCAAAGAGAGCACUGUUUUGUUUUGUUUUAAACAAGGAGGCCUGGAAUUGGACUGAAGUAAAAAAAAAAAAAAAAAAAAUCAUACAAAGGAAACAGUAAUUAUGUUAGCAAAAAUAGAGUAGGGAAUA
ensembl:lncRNA